rnacentral:hammerhead_ribozyme from 1 species
ACCUUGCUGAUGACUGCCAAAUAGCACGAAACGCGCGUCCAGGGU